UUAGGAAUCUUGCGCAAUGGGGGCAACCCUGACGCAGCGACGCCGCGUGCGGGAUGAAGGCAUUCGUGUCGUAAACCGCUUUUUACGGGGAAAAAGAAUUUGACGGUACCCGUCGAAUAAGCCCCGGCUAACUACGUGCCAGUAGCCGCGGUAAUACGUAGGGGGCGAGCGUUGUCCGAAGUUACUGGGCGUAAAGCGCGCGUAGGCGGUCAUUUAAGUUCGGGGUGAAAGGUUCAGCGCUCAACGCGAACAGUGCCUUGAAUACUGGGUGACUUGAGUUCGGGAGAGGGCAGUGGAAUUCCUGGUGUAGCGGUGAAAUGCGUAGAUAUCAGGAGGAACACCGAUGGCGAAGGCAGCUGCCUGGCCUAGAACUGACGCUGAGGUGCGAAAGCGUGGGGAGCGAA
rnacentral:rRNA from 1 species